rnacentral:tRNA from 1 species
ACCUAACUGGCUCAGUAGAGCAUCUGACUCUUGAUCCCAAGGUCGUGAGUUCCAGCCCCACAUUGGGUA